UGAUAAAAUGAAUGAAACAUUUUAGCUAUAAAGAAAACGUAACAAAUUUAAACUUCUUUAGAAAAAGGGUGACUCGGAGGUAUAAUUGCAUUAUAAACAUAUAUUCGGGGACAUUACAAACCAUUAUCUGGAAAUCUAGUCAUGAACAGGGCUAUACAUAGGGCACAAGGUCACACGUUUAGACUUGAAGAACGGUGAUUUAGUCUUAGGCAAUGUUUC